ensembl:lncRNA novel transcript
GAGAAAGGAAGUGGAGAACGUUCUUGCAAGAUGAUCUGUAUUUUCUCUCUAAAGCAGAGUUCAUUUGCUGAGAAUGAUGGAGAAAAUCAGCAUCUAGCUAAUCAGCUGACCAUGAGAUGCAGAGAUUAUCUGGAAUUAUCCAGAUUGGUCCAUUUAAUUACAUGAGUCCUUAAAAGUGGAAAGUGGAAGAAGAGGCAGAAGAGUGUGUCAGAGAGAUGCUGUGUGAAAAGGACUCAACCUGCCACUUGAGGCUUUGAGGCUGGAGAAAGGGGCCAUGAACCAAGGAUUGUGAGCAGCCUGUAAAAUCUGGAAAAGACAAGGCAAUACCCUUUGCUGUCUCAGGGUCAAACAUGCAACUCCUGCCUGCUUGUAUGGCCAGCUGGGUUCAAGAAGGAAGGAACCUCAUUGUUGACAGUUACCAGAUGAAUGUGCCCCUUCUGUACAGCUAAGAAAUGGAAUAGACAUUGGUGAGUGUUGGAUACAGUUUACAAGCUUGAAAUGCUGGGAAUUCACAUUUGUGAUACUUAAGCAGAUUUUAGUCUCACUGGCUUAUUCCCAAGAAUUGGGUAACAUGUUACAGUUUUUGAUGAUUUGUUGGUUAUUUGUUAUUCUUUGAAAUUCCCAAGGAAUGAGCAAAAUAUCCAGCGGGAAUAUUGAUGUGAGCAAUAGACUUAGCAGUCUCUUUCAUGGGCCAUCAGCUGUGGCACUUCACAUCAUAAACUCCAAAGGCAGGCUAAUCGUGGGUGAAAAUUCACCCUAGUUGGAGGAAGUCCUUGCAAUAAGGAACGACCAAGUUCAAAAUUAUUCUUGGUUUAAAACACAAGGUUUUGAAUCUCAAUAAGGUGAAGGAAAAAACAAGUUGUGUUUACUAGAAAUAAAAAUUUGCUGCCACAGGGAAUUGAGGGAUUAUCAAGCAAGGGUAUAAAGAUUCAGCUUCAAGGAAUGACAGCCAAACAUUUUCCUCAAUAUUUUGCAACAGGUAUCAGGUACCUAAGUUAAGUGAAGAUGAACUUUGAUUUUAUUUGAAUUUAAAUAAU